GUGCUCACUUCAGCAGCACAUACACUAACUUUGGGACGAUACAGAGAUCAGGAUGGCCCCUGUGCAAGGAUGACACGCAAAUCCGCGAAGCAUCCCACAUUUUA